CCUACGGGUGGCUGCAGUAGGGAAUAUUGCUCAAUGGGGGAAACCCUGAAGCAGCUACGCCGCGUGGAGGAUGAAGGUUUUCGGAUUGUAAACUCCUUUUGUUGGAGAAGAUAAUGACGGUAUCUAACGAAUAAGCACCGGCUAACUCCGUGCCAGCAGCCGCGGUAAUACGGCGGGUGCAAGCGUUACUCGGAAUCACGGGGCGGAAAGAGCGCGUAGGAGGGAUAGCAAGUCAGAUGUGAAAUCCUCUGGCUUAACCAUAGAAAUGCAUUUGAGACUGUUAUUCUAGAGUAUGUGAGAGGUAGGUGGAAUUCUUGGUGUAGGAGUAAAAUGCGUAGAGAUCAAGAGGAAUACUCAUUGCGAAGGCGACCUGCUAGAACAUAACUGACGCUGAUGCGCGAAAGCGUGGGGAGCAAACAGGAUUAGAUACCCUAGUAGUC
rnacentral:rRNA from 1 species